rnacentral:tRNA from 1 species
GGAAGUUUGGGUGAGUGGCUGAAACCAGCAGUUUGCUAAACUGCCGUGCGAGUUUUCGUACCGGGGGUUCGAAUCCCCCAGCUUCCG